UUUGAAGUUGACUUGAAUUUUCAGUUGACUUCUUUAUGAUCGAUGUUUGACUUAGGGAUUGUUUAUGGCAAUUGAAGAGAUCUUUUGAUCCUCCCUCGUUCAUCUUAUAUGCCAUGUAUAAGAGGCAUUUUACCUUGAUUUUAUUUGGUCCUUACCUCAUUUCCUGAUUAAAUUAUUCAGUGGACCCUUCGUGUGCAUAUUUUUAUCUGUUUGAUUCAUCUGUUAUCUUUUAUAC
rnacentral:lncRNA from 1 species